GCCAGGUGCAUGGGGGCGGGAGGGGCAGGCUCAAGCUUGCUUAUCCUUGGUGAUCCGCUUCUGGAGGGGCCCUGCAGCACUGAGAGGGAGUCAGACCCGCCGCCAGGCGGAGGGAUGGAUCUGCAGAAGCACAGCGUUGGGGGUUUGUGCCGAGUGAGCAAUGUGAGGAUGCCCCAAGUGAUCAAAAUCUUCCAUACUUUUCUCUUCUGCUCCCCUGAGUACAUCGAGGAAUGAAAACCAGUGAGGCCAUGAUGGGGGUUGGCUUGGACAUGGUAUAUAAUUUUUUAAAAUGUUUAAAAGU